GAAUAACGAGCAGACCAGACGAAAACUAACUAAACAGGCAGAAACUAAAUACACAUGACAAUCACAGAUAAUUACUACAACACGGCCAGACAAGACUUAACUAAUAAUCACACCUAACAAGGACAGGAACAAGACCAAAUAUGGACACAAGAGGCGGGAACACAUGACACACAUGACAGAGGACUGACACAUCUACUAUAUGGCUUGUAAAAUAUCACUCGUAAAAUAGCACAAGUCACUUUCACGAUUAUUUUCAGAAAAAAUGUUUUGAAAAACAUGCAGGUGAGAGAGUUUACAUCAAGCAAUGUUCCAAUUAAAAUGAUUCCC